rnacentral:lncRNA from 1 species
UAAAUCAAUCAAUCAGUCAUACAGGAAUGUAGUUCUUAUAGUUUAUUAGUAAUGUUUCUUAUUCAAUGUAGCAAACUGAAGAUAACCUGCAUGAUGAAAGAAUACAAACAGAAGCCCAAGAACAAACUCCACAGAAAGUAGCUCCAGCACACAAUGAAUUCUAAGUGAUUCUUGAAAGACAGAAGGCAACUGAAUAGAACUAAAAUGCACUAUUGGGCAACACUGCCUAACACAGUAUAGUAAUGCAAACACUAAUGAAGUGGGUAAGUGUCAGAAAUUACUAUUUAAAAACCUUGCCCUACUUUUUGGUGCAAAACACAGCAUCCUCUCUUUUCCAGUAGGCUGAUCUCAUGAACUCAUGAUCUCAUGAAUAUUAGAAGUAGAACUCCAUGAGGAUUUUGUCAGAGACUCCCAUGUCAGGUUCAAGGCUGAAUCAGAGCACAAUCCUAUUAAAUAUACAUUCAUUUGGAAUUUUGCUAAGUGUGUAUCUCUGUAUGUGGUUCAUAUGCAGAAUGCAAGCAUUUAACAGCUUGAAAAACUAAAAAAUUAUAGUUAUGUAUUUUACUGUUAGUAAUAUGAUCUACAGUAUAUACUAGAGGGUCAGUGAAAGAACUGUCACAAACUGCAUUCUAAAAAUGUAUGCUUCCUUGAUUAUAGUUGUGGCUGAAGUAGAAGAACAAGAUACAUUAACUGAAGCAUUACGGGACAGAGUAAAAGAAAAGCUGAAAACUGUCAAGGCUGCACAGGAAAAAGAUUUUUCUCACAAACAAAAUUCUACCACAAGAUUUCAAAACAAUCAAGAAAUAAAUGCUGAGGUAACAAAACUUUGUAAAGAUUCCUGAGAGCAAUAAACUAUUGUUUGAUUCAGUUUCAGGAUAUUAAUAAUGAGAAAGGCACAGUUUUGUGGAACUGUAAUUCAGGCCGUACUGCCUUACAUAAAUAGAAAAAUGAUCUUUUCUUAAUUUUUAAUCUUUUACUAAAUAUUAUUAAAAGUUAAUGUUGAUGUUCUAUAUAAUCUGUGCAAACAUAUCUGUAAUCUUGUAACAGGAUUAGCAAUAGAGCAUACAGGAGAGAUUUGUUUAUCCUUUUUCAGAGCUUUCAAUGGCCAGAGAAAAUAAUAACAAAGUUGCAGUUAUGGGACAUAAAAAAAUGAAAGCAAAUGAAUUGCACAUAUUUACUUGUACUUGAGUUUCAAAAUUGAAUCUUGGUUGGGAAAUAGCUACAGAUAAUGUACUUCUUUAUUCAAAUGUUGGUGUGAAGAAAAAGAAAAGUGUCACAUUGGAGGAUUUUUUUAGACAGCAGGAAGCUUGUAUCUAGGAGAACUUUUAGUUGAUCCUAAUGGGUCCUUUUAACUUUAAAAAACAUAAUCUUUUAAAUUAUUUUUCUUCUUUUUAAAAUCUGAUCUGGUUUUUGAAAAAAAUGUUUUCUAGCAAAAUUCUAUUCAGUUUCAUGUUUCAGUUUUUCAUAUUUAUAUUUAUUUUAAAAUUAUUGGUACAAGCAUGGGGGAGGAUCUAGAAAACUUAAUAAAAUACAAAUGAUCUGCAUCUGGAACUUCAACAAUAAAAAACAGGAAAGGCACUUUGAAAUAAUGUAAGCAGAAAGUUAAAUAUGGAUUUCACUGUGUCAAAUAUAACAACAAAAGGUUAAAUAGCAAAAAAUUAAUAGCAAUUGAACUAACUUGCUGACAUUUCCCCAUUCUUUUGUUUCAAAAUAUAUUAUGAACAUAUAUAAAUUUGAUCACCAGACUUGAAACAACAAAUAAUAUGAAUCAUUCCUAGAACUGGUGAUGCCAUAGAAAAUAGGUAAUUAGUAAUCACUAUUUUCCAUCAAACCUUACCAACAAGUACACAAAUGAAUACUGGUGGAAUAAAUAUUUAGUUAGUUUCUAUAGCUACAUAUGUAGUUUGGGAUAUCAGAUAAUGGGCACAAUUAUUUUUUGUGAACAAUUUUGUGUUGACCUGAUCACUAGUGCAAUAUGCACAAAGGUUAUAUCAAGUAUUCUCAGUAUUAAGCUGGAACAUUUUUGCCAUGAAUUCAUUAAUGUUUCAAAUGAUAAUUGAAUGGUUAUAAAAUAUUGCAUGUAUUAAUUUAAAUUGGAUUCUUAGUUUUAAAUAGUAUUUCAUGCAAUUUAUAUAGUAAUUUCCUUUGAAUCAGCGUGAAUGUAGUAGACUAUACAUACUUAGAUAUUUUCUCAGAUUAUAAAUUCAGAUUAUUAUUUUUUUACCAUAUGAACAUAAACAGAUUAUUUUGGAGUUGCUGUUUUACAUUAAUCUAAACCAGGGGUAUCAAACUGGCAACCUGUGGGCCAGAUGUGUCACACACCCACCCCAGCUCCGCAAAGGGGAAAACAUCACGAAAUGUCACAUGAUAGCAACGUGACCAUGCGAGUUUGACACCCGUGAUCUAAACCUUACCAUACAAAGCAUUGCCAGCAUGUUUAUAUUCUUUCUUCAUUAUAUCUUCCCAGAAUUGUUUAAAAUGGGGAGGAAUGGAUCAAGAUGCUAUUUCAAAAUUUCUAAUCUCAGAAUUUAUGCAGAUUUUGGAAUAAAUGAUGAAGAUUUAGCAGUAUAGGAUAAUUUAGGGAGAUCUAACCUUAGUGCCUGUUGUUUAAUUAAGGAAUGCCUAGAGAGCAGGUGGAGGACGAGCCAUUCUGAAUUCGAUCGUGGCCAGUUAAGAGCCUACAUUAGGACCUACCUGGAAGCGAUCAGGGCAGCGAGCCGUGUUUACUUCUC